rnacentral:rRNA from 1 species
GUCCACGCCGUAAACGAUGGGUGCUAGUCGUCGCGGGUAUUGACCCCUGCGGCAACGCAGCUAACGCAUUAAGCACCCCGCCUGGGGAGUACGGCCGCAAGGCUAAAACUCAAAGGAAUUGACGGGGCCCGCACAAGCGGUGGAGCAUGUGGUUCAAUUCGACGCAACGCGAAGAACCUUACCUGGGUUAAAUCCACUGGAAGCUUUCAGAGAUGAAGGUGUGCUCGCAAGAGAGCCAGUGAGAAGGUGCUGCAUGGCUGUCGU